rnacentral:rRNA from 1 species
UACAGAGGUGGCAAGCGUUGUUCGGAAUUACUGGGCGUAAAGCGCGUGUAGGCGGUUCGAUAAGUCUGCUGUGAAAGUCCAGGGCUCAACCCUGGGAUGCCGGUGGAUACUGUCGGGCUAGAGUGCGGAAGAGGCGAGUGGAAUUCCUGGUGUAGCGGUGAAAUGCGCAGAUAUCAGGAGGAACACCAAGUGCGAAGGCAGCUCGCUGGGACGUUACUGACGCUGAGACGCGAAAGCGUGGGGAGCAAACAGG